rnacentral:rRNA from 1 species
GCUAACGCGAUAAGUAGACCGCCUGGGGAGUACGGUCGCAAGACUAAAACUCAAAUGAAUUGACGGGGGCCCGCACAAGCGGUGGAGCAUGUGGUUUAAUUCGAUGCAACGCGAAGAACCUUACCUGGCCUUGACAUACUAAGAACUUUCCAGAGAUGGAUUGGUGCCUUCGGGAACUUAGAUACAGGUGCUGCAUGGCUGUCGUCAGCUCGUGUCGUGAGAUGUUGGGUUAAGUCCCGCAACGAGCGCAACCCUUUUCCUUAUUUGCCAGCGGGUAAUGCCGGGAACUUUAAGGAUACUGCCAGUGACAAACUGGAGGAAGGCGGGGACGACGUCAAGUCAUCAUGGCCCUUACGGCCAGGGCUACACACGUGCUACAAUGGUCGGUACAAAGGGUUGCUACCUCGCGAGAGGAUGCUAAUCUCAAAAAGCCGAUCGUAGUCCGGAUCGCAGUCUGCAACUCGACUGCGUGAAGUCGGAAUCGCUAGUAAUCGCGGAUCAGAAUGCCGCGGUGAAUACGUUCCCGGGCCUUGUACACACCGC